AUCGUUAUGAGAUAGAAAGGAAAGCAAGAAGAAAUUUAUCUGAUAGGCAAAGCAAAACGGAGAUUGAAACGAGGGAAUCAGAGAAUUGGCAGAAGAAGAAGAAGGAAAAAUGUGAACUUUAUGAGAAAUGGAAAAUUGGGGGUUU
rnacentral:sRNA from 1 species